GAAGUGUGCAACACCUUCCAGCACCACCACUUCCUCCAAAGUCGGCACAUCUUUCUUGAAACCACCGUUGUGAACGUACUCCUUCGUCCCCGGUGAAGUGUACAUCAAAUCAUCGCCAACUGUAAUGAACUUUACCGGCCUCCGGUGAAGCCAGUCUUCUGAAAUUUAGUAACGUAAUAAUGAAGAUCUUGUUGAGAGAGCCAAGACGGCAAGGUGGGUGAAGAAUGGGGAUUAAACCCAGUUCUAUGGCCCGCUUUUGGAAAAACUGGUGGACCUGAUAUGUCUUGAAAACCAGCACAAAGAAGAACAUAAGAGAACAGUGAUAAACUCAAACUGUACUCCAUGAUGAAUGUAAAACAGAUACAAUUGUGAGACCAGUUUUACGGGACGUAAAUAUGUUGUUCAACAGAUACGCAGGCCAUGGCAGCAUCAAUCAUAUUUGAUAUGCAGAGAAAGAAUAUACGAAGUAUUUGAUUUACCUGAAAUCUGCAUAUGUAGUAGUCAUCUCCAUACAAGGCACGAAAACCGUAUACGGUCUUCUGUUGAGGAUUUUUUCCGAGGAAGGGUCGGAAG